rnacentral:rRNA from 1 species
UACGAAGGGGGCUAGCGUUGUUCGGAAUUACUGGGCGUAAAGGGCGCGUAGGCGGUGUGUCAAGUCAGGCGUGAAAGCCCCGGGCUCAACCUGGGAACAGCGCUUGAGACUGGCACGCUCGAGUUCGGGAGAGGAUGGUGGAAUUCCCAGUGUAGAGGUGAAAUUCGUAGAUAUUGGGAAGAACACCGAUGGCGAAGGCAGCCAAUCUGGACCGACACUGACGCUGAGGCGCGGAAAGCGUGGGGAGCAAACAGG